CGGUUCUUCUGUGGAGAGAUCAUCUAAGGUGCCUCUCAUCUCAGUGUGGUCAGAGGUUCAGCUGAAGUCUACGUAUAGUUAACUAAAACUUUGCAAUGGCAUCCAGAUUCUUCAAGCAACUCCUCUUUGCCGUCCUGAUAGUUGGACAAGGAUCUUCUGUACUUGCAGAAAUAUGCACUGGUGAAAACGCAAAUGAAAUA
rnacentral:lncRNA from 1 species